rnacentral:lncRNA from 1 species
CUUCUGGCAGUUGUUAGUUGCCUUCGUUCUUUGUCUAGAGGAAAAACCCUGACAACCUUUCCUUAUUCCAUGCCAGCUCGUCCGCUGAUAUGACAUUGUUCCUGACUUUUCCUCCUUAUGCAGCCAUUUCUAGAGCGGCUGUUCACAGCGGAUGCCUUGGUCCUCUGGCUCCUCAGAUCUUUCAGCUCCCUAUUCGUUUGCUUUUCCUGAACCAUAGACAAAGGUGCUGUGUGUCCGUGUAUUCCCUGCAGCUGGGCUCCUCAUGACCUGUUGAUUUCUGCAUUGUGUCCAGUUGUGGUUUUCCGUGAUGGGCUCCAUUUGCUGUGAAGAGAGGCCGCUCUGAUGAGGGGUGGGAGCUGCACUGACCCAGGAAAGGACUUACACUGGCCACAAGCAGUUUGAUGUUCAGCUAGAAAACAAUCACAGAUAUCACGACAGAAUUGAUUUACACUGUUCUCUGAACAUCUUGGAUGAGGCCCCUCAGAGCAGAGGUGACAAGGUUGGAAUUCCGCCUUGCAGGACAAGUUGUGUCCUCUGGAUAAACAUAAUAGAGGGAGCAUGCUGUUGCCUUGAGUAAAAUCCUGGGCAGAAGCAGCUCAGGAAGAGGUGGGUUCAACUGUUUCACAGUUCAUCAGCCUUGGAAAGCAGAGACUUUACAGCCUGGCAUGGUGUUGCAUGCCACAAGCAGGUGGAUCUCUGAGUCUGAGGCCAGCCUGGUCUACAGAGUGAGUUCCAGGACAGCCAGGGCUAUACUGAGAAACCCUGUCAUGAAAACAAAACAAAACAAAACCAAAAAGAAACUUGAUGCUUCUGGUCACUUUGCACCUGCAGCCAGGAAACAGGAAGAGAUAAACAAAUGUGUGUGCUUACCUAGCCUUCUCUUUUUUAUGUAGUCCUAGACUGGUGGUUUGCAUGAGAAUGGUCCCCAGAGGCUCAUAUAUUUGAAUGCUUGGUCCCUACUUGGUAGGUCUGUUCUGGGAAGUUAUUAGGAAGUGUAGCCUUGUUGGAGGUGUGCCACUAAGGGUGGGCUUUGGGGUUUUAAAAGCCCAUGCCAGGAAGAGUCUCCCUCUCUCUCCCUUCUCUCUGUGCUCUGUGGUUCACAUCUCAAUCUGGAAGCUCUCAGCUACGGUUCCAGUGCUAUCACGCCUGCCUGCCACCAUGUUUCCUGACAUGAGGAUAAUAAAGGACUCACUCUCUGAAACUGUAAGCCCCCAAUUUAAAUGCUUUCUUUUGUAAGUUGGCUUGGCCAUAGUGUUUCUUCGCAGCAACAGAAAAGAAACUAAGCAAGGACCAAAGAACAUUGUUGCCCACUUUUAGGGUGUGUCUUUUCCAUUCGAUUAAUUUAACAUAAACCCUCACAGGCAUGCUCGGAGGCUGACCUAAUCUACGCUGUCUCUACAAGUGUACCCAAAGGCUUGACCCCCUAGGUGAUUCUACAUCCUGUCAAUCAACAGUAACCAAGGUGGGGUAAGGCACGAGGUAGGGAUGCAAGUGGAACUUCUAACAACUGGAAGGACAAGUACCAAGUUAGUCUUGAGAAGCUGAGAAAGUGUGUUGUGUUUGGAGCGAAGAGUAAGAGCUCUUUGUCUAGAAAGAAGAUGAAAGGUUGUGUGUGAAGCAGGCUGGUCAACAAACUCAACAUAAGCAUCAGUACACCCAUCACAUACACACCACACGCCUAUACACCACAUAUCACAAACACACCACACACACAACAUGCUACACAUAUCACAUACAACACUCUACACAUCAUAAACAACACACACAGCACACACACACACAACAUACUACACACAUUACAUACGACACACACACACAAACAUACCACACAUAUCACAUACGACACACACACAAACAUACCACACACAUCACAUAUGACACACACACACCAUAUAAAUGACCUCAGGCAUUUGUAGCUCCUUAUAUAAUUUCUGAGACCUAAAUUAAUCCUACCCCUUUGAGGUGUGACAAUGUCCUUGAAUGCUAAUUUAAAA